rnacentral:misc_RNA from 1 species
CAACGAAAUCAGGAGAUUCAACACUGCCAUAAACGGCAUAGCUUCGAUCUAGAAAUCCAAAGAUCAAAUCUACAACGGACUCUCUAGGACACAUCGAAACCCUACUAGGGUCGGCGGCGGUGGAACUCAGACUCCCCCAAAUCAUCACCAUCACGCAGAGCAGCGUCACGAUCCGCCUUGGCCAAACCCUAGUUCCCAUCAUCGAAAAGCCCACAAGAAAAAGGAGAAAAAAAAAAAAAAAGGACCCAACUAAAAAAACCGAGGGCACUAAAAAUCAGGGCAGUCGAGAGAAGAAUCGAAGAAGAAGAAGGGCGGUGAAAGAACGAAACCAGCACAUUUUAGGGCAAUUUUGUAAAGGAUGGAGCCCAGAGAAUAUCGAAAAUGAUUCUUAAAUAGCAAUGGAGUCAGUUGAGAGAGAUCACAAGAUAAAAUAAUAAUAAUAAUAAUUUAUAUAAGUCUGGUUUUGGAUGGGGGAAGAAGAGGAAACGGUAGCGCUUUGGGAGGGAG